UUUCACGCUCCUCGUUAGCACAGCUAGGCUGGCAAACCUGCCUGCAGUAGCUCUCCCCGCAUCUCUUGGAGAGCUAAGUGAGGGUGAAAGCCGUAGGUGUCUCUUUCUGAUACAGAAAACUCCCGAAGAGUCUCAAACCGUACAUAGGCAGGCAGAGUGCCCCAGUGUUUAAGAUGCAAAUUGUCCUGAGAAAGCAGUUUCUCCGUGUUGUCAGGCACUGCCAGGUCUUAAUCCCUUUGUGUUGCAGUACCUCAACUGGAAGAAAAGCCUCUUUCCCAGGAGGCUGCAAAGGGAAAAGUAUUUAAGAGUCUGAGGAUCUUGUGCACUCUAGUGCUGGGGCCGCCGAAGUACCUCCUCUGAAGGGGGAACUCGGUCCCGGAGAGGGUAGCCAACUUGGGAAAAACUUCCCGUUGCCAGAAACAAAAGCGGAACGAUGACUUAGGAGUUUCCAUAUCCUCUUCCCUUUCCCUUUCCCUUUCCCAGGACACAAAGCAAAGCCGCCUCCCGUCCUUACUGCCCACCGGUUAACGCAACUACAGGGCAGGCGAGUGUGUGUUCGAGUUCCUGCCUACGUUUUAACAAGAGAAAGCAGGAAAAGUCAUACCCAGGAGAGAGGAAAUUAUGAUCAUCCAGAAUUCUGAAGAAAAACCUUGCCCGGCGUAGACGCUCCCCACGCCACGGAGGUCUGCGCAGACCAGCCCCGGCUCCCCCGGCCGCUCAGCGAGUGGAUUCGACUCUGCGGAGCUGAAAGAGGAAGGCAGCUUCCAAUCUGUUUUCACAGAGAAUGGCCUCACUUCCGCCAGGACGGGCAGCAAGGCUCAAAACGCCGAGGGAACAGGCUACAGUCGUUUGUUUCUCCUGUCGUGGGGUCUACGCUGCACCACCGAUGUGUAGGACUUGCCGUGAGCUUGCCUUUUCUUUUACUGCCCUCAGGGAGGAAAUCAGUGCUGCUUAACACAGUGGCAACGGGUUGUGCUGCUUUUACUGCAGAGGAGGGGUUCAGCAAUAUAAAAAUGCCUUUGCGCUGGGUUGAAAUCUGCACACCUGCGUUUUCGCACCUCUCCAGGCUUGUCCACCGGGUCGCCCGGAUCCGCAGAAGAGGCACUUUGCUCCUAUUGCCGGAGCGCGGAAAACAAAGGCCGUUAACACGUGAAGAAGAGAAAGAAAAGGCUGGACGCGGGUAUGGAGCGGCAGCUCUGCGCAGGCGGUCGGGACCCAGCCAGCUGCGCCCAGGAUUGGCAUCUCUUGCUCUUUCUAAUGUCGCCACCUCCAGGCAAGUAGUAACUACGCUGGCUGUCACUGGGAGAGGAGACGGGAGCCGUCGCGCUGUGAAAGGUGGCGUGGGAGCCGCCGGUUUGCAGCUGGCCGGGCGAACCUGUUGACGAGGGCUCCCGGGUGGUCGUGCUUCGUGCCGAACGAUGCAGCUUUUGGCAGCUGAGCACAGGGACUGAGCGGAGCCAACCGGAAAGAAGAGGACAGUACGUUGCAAGGCAGCUGGCUUCGUGGUUAACGCUUGCGCGUGCCGUGGGGAACAGGAGUCCGCGCAAACUCCCUCCCGCGCGAAGCACAGGCGGUCUGCUGCCGAGGUGCCCUGCCGUCUUAAAAUAGGCGUAACUUAGCAGACCUGGAAAGACAUAGCUUUUUACCUUCAAUGAUGCACUGAUGGGAGGUGUUACGGAAUUAAUAGGGAGUGUGUAGAUGAGCUUUGUAGGAGCCUUAUUGCAUUUAAUUUCAUGCAGCUAAGCCAUAUAAAAACUGUGGCAGCUGAAAAAGGACACAGCAGGUACGUAUAACACUAUUUCCCUUCUCUGGUAGGUAUUUUGAAAAGCCAGUACAGUAUAUUUUCGUAAGUAUAAAUCCAGGAAUUGUCAGAAAACUAGGUCAAUACAUUCAUGCAGGGCACUAGCAAGCGCAUAUGCAGCGAGUUCACCUCGCUGCGCAGGUUGCAGACUAGUUUUCACCGUUAUUAAUUACACCGCGUCGCGGCCUGCUAGGUGGAACUGAAGUCCCUCCAGCCGCCCCGCGUCCCCUCGUGCACGCCAGUACCUCUAGCCGAACCUUGCGUGAAGGUCCGCGCUGGGGAUGCCUGGGGCAGCCGAGGCUGGGUUACCAUCUGCCCUCGCAAAGCUCGGCGCCGGCUUUUCCGCUGUCGUCAGCCAGCGGUCAGCUGCCGACCGCCACCUUCUCACCUGUGCUUCACUGCAGGCUGUGGUCGCAGAGAAAGCAAGGUUUCAAAAGGCAGUGGCCAAAGCAGUCUAACGUCUUGCGUCUUCGCUGUUUAGUUUGGGCAAUUAGGAAAACUAGGAAAAAUGAGCGAACGUUGACAGAGAUAUUUGAUGGCACGUAGGAGCUUAUGAAGUAUUUGGAAUUGUACCGAUGUUGGUUGGGCUGGUAGUUACUAAAAACUGUUAUUAAAAACAUGCUAUAUUGCAAAGAAAAAAGCAGGGGGCUUUUGAUGCCGUUUGUUAAAACAUUCGGCACAGUAGCCAGCUCUUAGAGAACUGCUGCUUGAGAGCAAGCCAACCUCAAUAAAUGAGCUUCACAGCGUCAUUAAAUUUGCAAUACUGAUGAGAGCGAGAGCUAAAGGAAGAAACACAAAUGCUAGUUGCAAUGGAGGGGACUUUCCAAUGCCGUAGGUAUUAUUUCAAGAAUUAUUUAGAUCCCUAUAAAACCUUGUCCUCCUUGUUUACCCUUCCUUAAAUUACCGCUGUCUUUCUGGUCAGUGUAUAUGUGACAGCAUUCACUGGGGUCAUGUUCCAGGUCAAGGGCAAUUUUUCUGUUACUCGGAGGGCUCCCGUGAAUAGUUGGAAGGGAUAACCCCACUUUUUGGUCAAUUCUGAGGGGGAACGAGCGCUGCUGGAGCAGGAUUUAGUCUCCCCUAACCUGUACCCCGUGACUGGGCCUCUGUCUUUCGUGGAUUCUUAGUACGAAGGUUGGAAGCCGAGGAGGGUUUGGAGGUGGUUGUGAAAACUACGAAAUGUAGGAAAAAAAUUUGGGGCAACGCUUGACAGUUUUGCUGCUUUGCGUAUUCUAGAAGAAUUUGAAUUGAAUUCAACUUUUCACUGGAAAAAUGUUCUAAUCUGUUAUUUUUCCCUUCUCCACAUAUUUUAAGAAGUACAGGGAGGCUCUUUCUUUUGCUUAUAGCGCUUUGUAGUCUUUUUUCUUUUCCUCUGUCCUUAAAGAGGAACAAGGAGGUAGAGCAACGUCUCAAGAAUUCGUACUAGAAAAUAAUUCCCUUGUAACAACAGUCUAUCUUUCACUGAAGAAAAGUAAUCCAGAAGAUGUCAAUAGUUUUAAUUUCCAGUUCUGUGAGGGCAGGCGGGUGUGGAAAGGCGUGAUCUUUAAAGCCGUAGUGAGUUUCGACCGGCUCCGCGGGGGCCCCGCGUUCGCAAAAUACCGGAGCUGCAGGACUGGCCUGGUCCCGGCGCCGCGUGUGACCUACAGGACUUCGUGGAAGAGCAGUCGGGGAAAAGUAAGGGUGUGUUAAAACGAAAGGACUGCCAUGCCGUUCAGUCCUGGGCCAUUUUAGGCCGAGAAAGGGCAGGAGAAGCCAAACGUUGAAGCCGGGCUGGUGAGGCGCGUUAGCCCGCAGGCGGAGACGCUCGGAUAAACGGUGACCAUCCUGCUGGGCACAAGGAUGAAGGGGUCAGCGGGAAAGAGAAGUUAACAAGAAAUGAAGGAGAAAGAGAGGCUGGUAACAAAAUGCCGUGAGGAUCCGGUCCUCAGCGCGUGUGGCUUGGAUUAGCGUCCCCAAAGGCAGCGUUGGCCCGCUCGCCGGCCUGCCCCCGCUGCCGGCGAAGCACGCCUCAACGCCGGUGGCAGAAAACAGAGGAGAAAUGGAAAACGGGGCCCCUCAUCAGUGUUACGGUGGGGAGGAAGAGGGAAGGAAAAGGCCUUUUCUUUCUUAAUAUCAGCUGGCUCCUGUCUUUGCUAGAGGAGGAGGAGGAGGAGGGAUGGAAAGUUUCAUGGAGAGGAGGAGGAGGAGGAGGGAAAGUUGCCAAGAGCAGAUUAUCUUUCCCGGCCUGACGCGAUGGGGCAAUUUGAUCGUCUCUCGAGAACAGCAAAAACGUCUUCACAAAAUGUCUGUGCUAUCCUGAUUAAGGGGAAAAAAAAAACAAAAAACCUCAAAAAGCUCAAGAGAAUUUAGUUCCCCGCCCUCCAUCGGGAACCGGGAUGAAAUCAGUGAGGCCUUUGCAGGUCCCUUGAGGGCCACCGGGUCUCCUAAGGACCGGGGAGCCCUCGCUGCGCUGCGAGGGUAUUUUCUUUCCUUCUCUCUCUCUCUCUUUUUUUUUUUUUAAUUACUCUCCACUGUUGGAAAUACUCCUAGGAUACUGAAA